rnacentral:rRNA from 1 species
UACGGAGGGUGCAAGCGUUAUCCGGAUUCACUGGGUUUAAAGGGUGCGUAGGUGGAGUGGUAAGUCAGUGGUGAAAUCUCCAAGCUUAACUUGGAAACUGCCGUUGAUACUAUCAUUCUUGAAUAUCGUGGAGGUAAGCGGAAUAUGUCAUGUAGCGGUGAAAUGCUUAGAUAUGACAUAGAACACCGAUGGCGAAGGCAGCUUGCUACACGAUCAUUGACACUGAGGCACGAAAGCGUGGGGAUCAAACAGG